UCUUCAAUUCUGACCCAAGCAUUCAAGGCUGCCAUGUAACAUAAAUUCAGGGUGUGGUCAUCAAUUAAAAAUUGUCUUUGUAUAUCAGCAUAAUUGCCUUCUCCAAGAAGUUGAUCUUGGCAAAUUUCAAUACCUCUAGCCCUAUUCCAUUGUUCAAUGGUCUUAGCCUCAUCUUUCCACCAGGUCACGAAUUCAAUUUUAAGGAAGUAGAGUGUAUAAGAGAAAUUCAGAGUGAAGGGCAGCCUCAGCCUAAGACAAAAGCAGUAUCUUAGAGACAAGGUGACUAUUCAUUUUUCACCACUGUGGGAGCGUAACCUAAAUGUGUGCAUCCUGCUGAUUAAUGGGGAUAGUGCUGCUCUUUGUUCCUAUAAGUCUAACCUGGAACCCAAUGGGUCUUACUACAAGAACUAGGGAAGAACAGGCAGAGAAUAAUAUUGGAACAAUAUCCAAAAGCAAUGCAGGGGCAGAGAGAGCAUGUGACACAUGGCUAUAUAAUACACAGAGUCCCUGGUUCUCAUAGUCACUGAAGGAAUUUCCGGUGUGAACAAAUUGACUUGUUUAAAAAUUUCUGCUUUAUUCUCCACAGUUAUCAAAGAGGAGAAUAUCCAAACCACAGAUCAUCAUUAACAUAGGUCAUCUUUAUCCACAGAUAUCUGCUUGUUGUAUCUAAACAGCUUCCAUUGUGUGGCAUGAGAGAGCCAUGAAAAAAAUAUGAUUCUCAAAAGAACUUGAAGUGAGAGAACUCACAGUGCUCCAGCAUUUAAAAAAACAAGUGUACAAGCCUAUUAUGAUUUGAGAAAAAAGUUAAUUCUGAAGUGCAUGUCAAGGGCUCACAAAUACUUGCUUGAAGGCUCUCAAGAAGGUGAUAAAUGAGGUCGCUUCUCAUCAGUUGUUCAGCCAUGGAGGAGGAAGCAAACAAGAAAAUUAUAGUACAGAAAGAGAGUUAUUUCACUCUAAACUGCAAUGGCCUUUUUUAUUAAACAAGUUGGAAGCACCGGCAAGUGACAGGAGAGAGAAGAAAGAAAAAGAGUUGAGGAUGACUUGUGGGUUCCUCUCUGACUUCCAACUCACCCGUGGGCUGUAUCUACAUUAUUUCAAGGCAGCGGAUGGAUUCAGGGAGAUUCUCUUGCUCUCGCGGUUUUCCACGGCCACAUUUUCUUCUCUUUGACUCUUCAAGAGUAUUUGUAACAAUUACACCAAUUGUGUUUUCCAAAGGUGGGUGUUGAACCAUGGAGCCUUGCACACACUUGGCAAGAACUCAGCCCCUGAACUGCGUCAGCCUGUUCCAUUGUUGCUGAUUGCUGCUGACCUAGUCAGCUAUACACACUUCCUCUCUCUUGUUUCAACUCACCUAUUUAUAGACUGUGUUCUGGGGGCUCAAAUGCUGGAAUUUGUAGAGUUAUAGAAUUCAACUCGUCAAAUAUCUAAUUAUAUUUAGCAUAAGACUAACAUGGUGACAGACUAUUUUUUCUUCUGAAUCUGUUCUUUUCCUUUGACUAAGCUAAAACAGAGAGUUUAAUAGAUUAUAAGAACUGAAGUUUUAUAUGAAAUUUAUAGAUUAUGGGAUGUACUAGUGCUUUUAUACACUACCAAGGACACAAUGGUGUUUAUAUUUAUUUGUAAUACAGUGCUUAAUAAUUACUUAUACUAUCAACCUUAUCUUUUUUUAAAUGCUCAUUUAGGUUUUAAUAUUUUGUAUGUCUCUUUAAUAUUUUGUUCAUAUAAAAAUAAAUUUAUAAAAGUAAUUUGGUUAAGAUAUUUCA